UACAGAGGGGGCAAGCGUUAUUCGGAAUUAUUGGGCGUAAAGGGCGCGUAGGCGGCCUGGCAAGUGACGGGUGAAAGCCCUCGGCUUAACCGAGGAACUGCCUGUCAGACUGUUAGGCUUGAGACCGGGAGAGGUGAGUGGAAUUCCCAGUGUAGCGGUGAAAUGCGUAGAUAUUGGGAGGAACACCAGCGGCGAAGGCGGCGUCCUGGACUGGACCUGACGCUCAGGAGCGAAAGCGUGGGGAGCGAUCCGG
rnacentral:rRNA from 1 species